rnacentral:rRNA from 1 species
GUGGGGAAUUUUGGACAAUGGGCGCAAGCCUGAUCCAGCAAUGCCGCGUGCAGGAAGAAGGCCUUCGGGUUGUAAACUGCUUUUGUACGGAACGAAACGGCUCUGGUUAAUACCCGGGGCUAAUGACGGUACCGUAAGAAUAAGCACCGGCUAACUACGUGCCAGCAGCCGCGGUAAUACGUAGGGUGCAAGCGUUAAUCGGAAUUACUGGGCGUAAAGCGUGCGCAGGCGGUUUUGUAAGACAGGCGUGAAAUCCCCGGGCUCAACCUGGGAAUGGCGCUUGUGACUGCAAAGCUGGAGUGCGGCAGAGGGGGAUGGAAUUCCGCGUGUAGCAGUGAAAUGCGUAGAUAUGCGGAGGAACACCGAUGGCGAAGGCAAUCCCCUGGGCCUGCACUGACGCUCAUGCACGAAAGCGUGGGGAGCAAACAGGAUUAGAUACCCCUGUAGUCC